AGUUAUAAUUAAUUUUCAUAAUAAUUUUAUAACGAUAUGAAUUGAUAAUCAAAUUUAAAUCUAAUACCUACUCACAUAUUCGCCCCACCUUUUUUCCACAAUUACAUAUUCAACCCUCUUUAUCAAGGAAAUCUCACUCUGCCACUCUCUCUCUCUCUCUCUCUACAAUGGACACGCUCCAGUCUAACUACACUGACUCCCCAUUGACCAGAUUAACUCUCGCCACAACCCCCAACCCCCACUCCGAAACCCUCGAUGAUUUCUCCGGCGGAGAAGAGGAAACCACCAACCGCAGGCGGCGCCGUUUCAGGUGGAAACCGCCUCCGACCGACGGAAGUCCAGAUGGGCGGACGACGAGCCCAAGACGAAGAGCCCGAUUUCAUGAAGGAUUUCACCGGAGAACUUGAAUAGAGGGAGAGACACUAGAUUAAGCCCAAGGAAUUCGAUGAGACCGACGAACUUGUACAUUGCCAUUGCCACUGCCACCGACUCUGGAGGAUGAAUGUUUGAUAGUAGAGGCCGCUUGGCGAGAUUGUGAUUGCUAAGGUUAUCUCUGGCCUGAGUAAAGGUUAUGGAUUUGUCGAGUAUAUAUGCUGAUGUUCAUCGGGCUAACAAUGGCAUUGCUAGCGUGAAUGGCGUACACAGACUCGACAGAAGAUCAAUUGCCCGUGACAGUAGUGGCUGCCAAACCUCCUCCGAGAUAAGUAGCUACAGUGCAGAUACCGAGUACGACAAUUUCAUGACAAUUGUGAUGGAUUUUGGAUGAGAGGUAAUCCAUUGUUUUUUCCUCCUAGUUUCUUGUCUUCUACUACUCUUUGAUCUUUGCCGGAACAAUUAUUGCGCACAGUUAUCAACUCUAAUUAUUGGCAAAGAUUAAAAUAUAAUGCCUGUAUGUAGUGGGAAAUUGAAUAUAAUGUCGAUCUCGCGUGGUAGUAUAGUACUGCAGGGUUUGCUAGUGGAGCUAUAGAAUGCAUAGUAAUUAGGAUUCAUCAUAUGUAUGAUACAUGAUGUAUAUAUGAGCAUAGUACGAGGUUUUAUUAGAUUAUCGAUACAUAUACAUACUAAAUGGAAUGCAUGUAAGUGUAUAAUUUAAAUGUCAUUCUCUAGAAAACACGAAGCGUAUGUAUUGGAGAACGCAUUUUACUUGCCCUUAAGUAUGGGGUCAGAUCAAAAAUCACAGAAUAACUUAUCUUCGAUAGGUAACUUGUAUGCAUCAUUCCCACUGUUAAUAGUUUGGACACACAUGUAAUAAAUGGCUUAUUGAUAUGUGAUUACGGAAGUGAAUUGUGUAAAUAAAGUAUUUCCGAGUUACAUUAUAAUAUUCCGAAUGAAAUUAGAAUUAGAUCGAGCAAAUUUCAUUCUUUCUCAUGUGCAUACCGAAUGAAACUUCGAACAAUAUAUGGUGCUGCUAAUAUGUUUAUGUUUCGUUAUGCACUUGUCGGAGUUUCUAAGACUAUUCCUAUCUCUUGAAGUUUAUAUAUAUUUUUUGUGUUACUAUAUCUUACAUUCCGGUUUGGUAAGAGCACAUGUUGGUUAUCCAUA